GCACUUUAAUGUUUUUUAUUCAAUCAUUAGUUAAAAUUUGUAAAGUUACUUACAAGUCCAUCUUCAGACAGUAGGUAAAUACUGGUUCUCCGAAAUAUGCAGUUAUUGUAACUCGCUUAAACCUUUAUUAUUAGUUGCACCUUGAUCUGUCAUAGUAAUUAGAUAUACUCUAUUAAAUAUUUUUUAAAGAUAUUUUAGACGACGGCAUACAAACUGUUUGGAUAAAGCAGAUAUUUCUUGGUGGCUAUCAAUUACUUAGUAAGUUCCCCUGUAGUUUAUUAAAGCCGCCAUAAUUUUUGAGUUUGACCUUUAAAUUGGCUUACUGCUCAUCUAAUUUUCAGUAAUAAAUGGGAAUAGUAGGGUAUCUAAUCCUAGUUUUAAUCUAUUCCAUUUUUGGUAUAGUAAUAUUAAGGGUAUAUCUGCAAUUUAUAUUUUACUAUAAAAUUACAAUAUAUUAUCACUUUAAAUUAAAAAUUAAAUAAAUUUCAAAUUACUUUAGAUUAAGGUUUGACCGCGGUUGCUGGCACCAUAUUUACCCCCCGAAUUUUACCUGUACUAAGCCUUAUAUUUUUAUAGUAUUUUAAUAUCUCCAACUGGAUAAAAUCACAAUUAUUUCCAUGAUUGUUCUAGGUAAAGUAAUUUUUUCUUCUAUCAAAUUAAAGUAGAAUAUUUUUUAUGUUUUCUAAAAAGGAAUUUUCUCCUUUUUCGG
rnacentral:rRNA from 1 species